rnacentral:rRNA from 1 species
CACCUCUAGCAAAUAAAACAUGUAUUAUAGGCACUGCCUGCCCAGUGACACCUAGUUUAACGGCCGCGGUAUUCUGACCGUGCAAAGGUAGCAUAAUCACUUGUCUUUUAAAUAAAGACUAGUAUGAACGGCAAAACGAAAACUUAACUGUCUCCUUAAUCUAGUCAAUGAAAUUGAUCUUCUUGUACAAAAGCAAGAAUAAAAAAAUAAGACGAGAAGACCCUAUGGAACUUAAGUUAUUAUACACUUAAAUAUACUAUAAAUAAUAAUUGAAAUACUAACUUUGGUUGGGGCAACCACGGAGAAUAAUUAUCCUCCGAGAAACACAAGCUAAAUUAAACAAAAUUAAGCACCAGAAAUCUAUAAUUAGACCCAAUAUAUUUGAUCAACGAACCAAGCUACCCUAGGGAUAACAGCGCAAUCUUCUUCACGAGCCCUUAUUAUCAAGAAGGUUUACGACCUCGAUGUUGGAUCAGGAUAUCCUUACAGUGCAGCUGCUGUUAAUGGUUUGUUUGUUCAACAAUUAAAAU